AAAAAAAAAACACCACAGACAGACACACGAAAAGGAAGGAAUUAGUAGCAAGUGAGGAGCAGAGUCGAGCAGAUCUAUCUCAUCCUGGAUUCUCAUGUGUUGAUUUGUUCUUAAUUAUUAUUUAAUCCGCGGAUAUAUCCGACUGUUUCCAUGUCCUUCUCUGUUCUGGAUCGUUGUUUGUAUUGAACUCUCUCGCUCAGAAUUAUCAGUUCAAGGAUGAUGUCAAUUGAAGGGAUGAUGGACAAGGGUGUGCUGGACGACAUCAUCCGCCGCCUCUUUGACGGCAAGGGAGGGAAGCAGGUGCAGCUCUCCGAGACCGAGAUCCGCCAGCUCUGCGUCAACGCCCGCCAAAUCUUCCUCUCCGAGCCAGCUCUCCUUCAGCUCCGUCCUCCCAUAAGGAUAUGCGGCGACAUACACGGGCAGUACCAAGACUUGUUGAGGCUGUUCGAGUACGGUGGGUGUCCUCCAUCGACAAGUUACCUAUUUCUCGGAGAUUAUGUAGAUAGAGGAAGGCAGAGUUUGGAAACGAUAUGCUUGCUAUUGGCUUACAAGAUAAGGUAUCCGGAUAAGAUUUAUCUUCUGCGUGGGAAUCACGAAGAUGCCAAAAUCAACCGUAUUUAUGGAUUUUACGACGAGUGUAAGAGGAGAUUCAAUGUUCGACUCUGGAAGAUAUUCACCGACUGCUUCAAUUGCUUGCCUGUCUCUGCGCUGAUCGACGAAAAGAUUCUCUGCAUGCAUGGAGGGCUUUCCCCGGAGUUAAAAACUUUGGAUCAGAUAAAGGAGAUUCCAAGGCCCACCGACGUUCCAGAUAGUGGUCUCCUCUGUGAUCUGCUUUGGUCCGAUCCUGAUCCUCGGGUACGGGGUUGGUCCGAUAGUGAUAGAGGAGUUUCAUGCGUUUUUGGGCCCGAUGCAGUUGCUGAAUUCUUGGACAAAAAUGAACUGGACCUCAUUUGCCGGGGUCAUCAGGUGGUAGAGGACGGGUAUGAGUUCUUUGCAAAGAGAAGGCUCGUCACGAUAUUUUCAGCUCCAAACUACGGAGGAGAGUUUGACAACGUUGGCGCUCUUUUGAGCGUGGAUGAAUCGCUAGUGUGUUCUUUCGAGAUCCUAAAGCCUAUUGCAAGCAGUUCAAAGGUUAUUCUGAAGAAGCCACCGAAACUGGGAGGUGCCUGAUGACUGAGAUAAAUUGCCAUAUCGGAGAAAUGGAAAGAUGCGUUGAUAGUCAUGUCUCUGCAGGAAAUCAAUGCUUUGGGGAAGAAGAAGAAGAAGAAGAUCUAAAGGGUUUCUGUGUACAACUUGCCAUGAUGCUUCAGGGAUGUCAACGGGGCAGGCUCGAGACGGAUUUUGCAGGACACUCCCCCAUUGGAAAAUAUUAGGACUCAAGACCCGUUCGCCUUGCUUCAACCCAGCCCCAGGACCUGUUCCGCCCACCAACCUUACAAACUCGUUUCUUUUUUAAGAAAAAAAAUAAUAAUUUUUUAAAAAAUAAUUUAAUACUAAAAAAAAUAUGCGUCAAAUUACAAAACAUUAUAGUUUUAAAAAUAAGAAAAAUCAAAUAUUAACGAUAGUCUGUAGUGAUGGCGGUCCGCAGUAGUUCCGAUUAUAAAGAGAAUUGUAGAAAAAACAAAUGCGAACAUA